rnacentral:lncRNA from 1 species
UUUUAAUACCAUGAAAGAGUUUAUUCGUAAUUGGGAAAACAAACAGACAAAUCUUACGAUAGAUACAAUUAUCAAGGUCAUAAACACAUCAACUGAAGAACUAAAUGAUUGUUCACUUUAAUUAGACACAACGAACAAACAAAAGACGAGAACUUAGUAAAAAUUUAUAGCGUAGAGCAAUCUUGGUACGAUUGGUAGUAGUCCUGUUUAGGUCAGAACCGGGG